AUUUCAAAUGUCUGUCUUGUCAUCGAGUUAUGCAUAAUCAUUACAUUUUGCAUUCCAUACCUUAUUUUCCAAUAUAAAAUUCGGUAAUAUUUCUGAUGCCCUGAAUGCCACUGUGAUAUGAUUUGGGACAUUAAAUUGUACCUGUAAAUUAUACCUCCAGCGCUGGUAACUACCUGUGCUAUAUACGCGGAGAAUGUGGUCUGGUUUGUGUGUUUUUGCGAAAUUACGAACCAUGGAAGUUCGUCCAGCCAGAGAGAGACGAAAGUAAUAAUGCCGUGCACAUAGUGUCAGGCUCUAAGAAUUGCUGGAUUAGACUGAAGUUUUGGAAGGAAGAACGGAAGAAUAAACAAAAUGGUGGGCCCCACAAUGAUAACGAUAAUGGCAAUUAAAAAAACCGCAAGAGGAUGAUGCUCCUCUAGAAUUUGUUUCUUGCCGCAGGUAUAUCAAGAAUGUUAGAUUACUUUUGUUUGCAAACGCACACUUGAAUUACAAUACACAAAUACGAAACAAAAACACUACACAUUAAUUCCGCACUAAAACGUUCCAGUUUCCGUUUUUUCCAUUUAUUUUUGGGGUUUUUGUAAAAGUUAAAGUAGAAUCAGCGAUCUCACUGUGGGGAACGUUGGCAGCUUACUUCUUCUUGGACACACCCACAGUGCGACCGCGACGACCAGUUGUCUUGGUGUGCUGACCACGGACACGCAGGCCCCAGUAGUGACGCAGACCGCGAUGGGA